rnacentral:misc_RNA from 1 species
GAACAAAAUGAAAGAAAACCCUAAAAUAGCAACAUCAUUUUUUCUUCUUUUCCAGUAGGCAAAGUGAUCCUUCUAUACAUAUGUAAACUUUUAGAUCAAGCAAUGAGAUUGUUUUCUUAUUUUUUUGACAAGGUCGAUUAAAGAUUAGAGGAACCAAACAUCUUCUAUUAUAAACAUGCAUCAAGGUAAUGUUAAAGUAACUCCGUAGAGGAAGAGAAAAAUGGUUAGAAAGAUGUCCAAAGGAUAUCUAGAUUUAC